rnacentral:tRNA from 1 species
GUCCCUGUAGUUCAAUGGAUAGAAUAACUCCGUCCUAAGGAGCAGAUAGAGGUUCGACUCCUCUCGGGGAUACCA